UUCUUUUUUUUUUUCCGGCGAGGAAUUUGGGAUGUUCCGGUGAGGCGGUGACACUUGGGUCUUACUUGAGUGAGGGUGAAUUCCCGAUUUUGACCCCAAAGCGAAGGCAGGAACCACUGGCUGUCCACUCUCUCAAAAAUUUUGACUUGUUUCUUUCACAAUUCAUUGGAUUCUAAAGAGAGAGAGCUUCUUCAACUCAGUUGUGUGAAGUGUAACCCUUUAUGGCUGUCUCUUUGACACGUUUGUCAUGGUGGUUAUGGGGUGGCAAGAAAGAGAAAGAGCCAGUUUCCAUCAGUGGCUCAUCAUCAUCAUCCACUGAAUGGGGCUUUCCAAUGAAGGAAAGAGAGGCUGUGAUGAAGUUCCCUUUGGUGAAGGGAACAAAGGUAGCUCCAUCAUCUCACAGGAACAAGGUUAAGAGGAAAUGGCAGAGCAGAGAAGAGAGAAGGAUAAGGGAUCAUCAUGAUGAUGACCAUGCUAACGAUAUUGAUGAUGAUGUUGUGUUGGUUCCUUCUGAUGGUGGUGGUGGGUGCUUGUCUGGCUCUGAAUCUGAUGACUCUGAUUGGUCCAUUGGGUGGUUGGAGCCUCAUGGAUCCAGUUUUCAGAGCUUCGAUGAUGAAUCCGAUAAUAGUUUUGCUGUGCUUGUUCCUUGCUAUAGACCUGGAUGCAAGGAGGUUGAGGGUUCCAAUAAUGAGCUUUUGAGUGUCAUCAAUGACCUCCCAAAUGAGUUUUCAUCUGUCAAGCAAUUGAUGACUUUCUUUGGUGAUUCAAUAGAAGUAACUUGCUAAGAAAUAGAAUCCAAUCUCAGUAGAUGGUGCCUUUACUAAAAUAUCAAUCAGACAUUCUGGAAUGAACUACAUGGAUCGAUGGCUGGCUUCUAUUCAGAAUUUUAGAGCUUAGAAGAAGACUGAGCCUGUUACUAUGGGAUCUUUCUGACCAAAAAACUAAUAUCUAGAAGUAGGGGGAGGCAAAAUAAUCUCAUGCCACCAAGAUUAGUUAGUUUUGUACAUAGAAUCCAACUCUCCUCUAAUAUCAUCUAUUAUGAGUAGUAAAUAGCUUUAGUAGAUAUGAAUUUGGUCUUGGAUAUUAAUCUCUCUAGGCCAAUCAAGACUCUAUCAAUCACCAAAAGAAAAAAAAAAUGUGAAUAUGAACUUUUUUGGUUGUUGGAAUCCUUUAUAUUUCUACAGUAGAAGGUAUCUAUUCAUAUAAUAAGAUGUGAUAUUUUGCCCUGCU